GGGCUGGUGGCGAAACUGGCAGACGCACCUGCCUUAGGAGCAGGCUCCGAAAGGAAUGAGAGUUCAAAUCUCUCUCAGCCCACCA
rnacentral:tRNA from 1 species